GUGUCAGCAGCCGCGGUAAUACGGAGGAUCCGAGCGUUAUCCGGAUUUAUUGGGUUUAAAGGGUGCGUAGGCGGCUUGAUAAGUCAGGGGUGAAAUCCACAGGCUCAACCUGUGGCUUGCCUUUGAUACUGUUUAGCUUGAAUCUAUUUGAAGUGGGCGGAAUAAGACAAGUAGCGGUGAAAUGCAUAGAUAUGUCUUAGAACUCCAAUUGCGAAGGCAGUUCACUAAGUUAGUAUUGACGCUGAUGCACGAAAGCGUGGGUAUCGAACAGGAUUAGAUACCCUGGUAGUCCACGCCCUAAACUAUGAUAACUCGAUGUUGGCGAUAUACUGUCAGUGUCUUAGCGAAAGCGUUAAGUUAUCCACCUGGGGAGUACGACCGCAAGGUUGAA
rnacentral:rRNA from 1 species